UUUGAUAGACCCGGGCUCGGCCUGGUAUUCAUAACCCUUUGUUGUCCGACUCUGUUGCCUCCGGGGCGACCCUGCCUUCGGGCGGGGGCUCCGGGUGGACACUUCAAACUCUUGCGUAACUUUGCAGUCUGAGUAAACUUAAUUAAUAAAUUAAAACUUUUAACAACGGAUCUCUUGGUUCUGGCAUCGAUGAAGAACGCAGCGAAAUGCGAUAAGUAAUGUGAAUUGCAGAAUUCAGUGAAUCAUCGAAUCUUUGAACGCACAUUGCGCCCCCUGGUAUUCCGGGGGGCAUGCCUGUUCGAGCGUCAUUUCACCACUCAAGCCUCGCUUGGUAUUGGGCAACGCGGUCCGCCGCGUGCCUCAAAUCGUCCGGCUGGGUCUUCUGUCCCCUAAGCGUUGUGGAAACUAUUCGCUAAAGGGUGUUCGGGAGGCUACGCCGUAAAACAACCCCAUUUCUAAGGUUGACCUCGGAUCAGGUAGGGAUACCCGCUGAACUUAAGCAUAUCAAUAGGCGGGAGGAAA
rnacentral:rRNA from 1 species